rnacentral:rRNA from 1 species
UUGUGCCUACGGGGGGCAGCAGUGGGGAAUAUUGCACAAUGGGGGAAACCCUGAUGCAGCGACGCCGCGUGAGUGAAGAAGUAUUUCGGUAUGUAAAGCUCUAUCAGCAGGGAAGAAAAUGACAGUACCUGACUAAGAAGCCCCGGCUAACUACGUGCCAGCAGCCGCGGUAAUACGUAGGGGGCAAGCGUUAUCCGGAUUUACUGGGUGUAAAGGGAGCGUAGACGGUCCUGCAAGCCAGAUGUGAAAGCCCGGGGCUCAACCCCGGGACUGCAUUUGGAACUGUAAGGCUAGAGGGUCGGAGG